rnacentral:misc_RNA from 1 species
GAAAUGCGAUAAGUAGUGUGAAUUGCAGAUUUCAGUGAAUCAUCGAAUCUUUGAACGCACAUUGCGCCCCUCGGUAUUCCGUGGGGCAUGCCUGUUCGAGCGUCAUCUACACCCUCAAGCUCUGCUUGGUGUUGGGCGUCUGUCCCGCCUCCGCGCGCGGACUCGCCCCAAAUGCAUUGGCAGCGGUUCCUUGCCCCCCUCUUUGCGCAGCACAUUGCCAUUCGAGGCGGCGGCGGCCCGCGUCCAACAAGCUCAACCCCCCCGUCUUUGACCUCGGAUCAGGUAGGGAUACCCGCUGAACUUAAGC